CUCUCUUCUAGUUUCUCGUGCCCAACCACAGCACCCGCAGCUCCCACAUCCUCUGUUGUCUCGCAUCCAUCGAGAUGAGUCUUGCGUCUGUCUUCUCUUCUCUUCUCUUCUCAAAGAACCUCUCCUCUCAAAACUCAAAAGCAAGUAAUCUCUUCUCAAAGAACCUGUCCUCUCAAAACUCAAAAGCAAGUAAUCUUAAGCCAAUUAUCUCUCUAGCUGCUACAGUAGCAGACACAUAUAGAAGGAGAAGAGGAGUAAGUUCCUACCUUCCAUGAUUGCAUACAGAAGCUAUAAGUGCCCCUCUUGAUUUAAGUAACGACUCCCUCGCUUUGCACUAUCCUUUGGCUCUUCUCUUUACGGCCGACUGCUGAUUAAAUCUUUCUCUGCUAUAAGUGCCGACACAGAUUCAAAGUUUGAAGUCUUUCUUUGCUUGUUCAGGUAAAUGGCAUAAGCCAAGAAAUGGGUAUUCAUUUCAAGAGAUAGAGUUUCAGAUGUUCUUCUCCAGUGGAUCUUCUUCUUGAGAUGCUAAGAAUCGAGGGUGAAGCGUCCUUAGCCCGACUUCUUGCCAGCACACUCCUUAGGCCGGGUCUCAGCCGGGUUUACCCGGGUCGACCGGGUUCCAGGUCGAUCCGCCGGGUCGACCGGGUUUCGCCGGGCCAACUCCCAGUCGGGUUUUUACUUAGACCCGGACCGGUCCCAGGCCCGGGUCGGCCGGGUCCCGGGUCAACCCGCCGGGCCGGUCCGGGUUUCAAAACUAUGGGAAUUAGAGUCGCUGAUGAGAGGAAAUGGCGAAAUUAGAACCUAAACAGCGAACAGAGAUGGAACCCAGAGAGAUGCCCGGUUUAUAUUCUGACGAGAAGAAACUCGUUUUUGGUGUGCCAGAGCUAAAAUCAUUCUGAUAUAUAUAUAUAUAUAUAUGUUCAAUUAGGUUGAAGACAAGGAGAAAAAAGCUCAAGUAUGUAGAUUUUGUUCAAGUGGUGCCGAUCUACGUGGUGGUCUGUUUUUCAAGCGUCUACAGAUAUGCCAAGGAAAAUUCUGGUCCACUGAAACCGGGGGUCCGAACUGUCGAGGACACCGUCAGAACUGUCAUCGGACCGGUCCACGACAAGUUCCAUGAUGUCCCCUUCCAGCUUCUCAAAUUCGUCGAUCACAAGAUUGAUGAAUCUUUGAGGGAAUUGGACAGGCAAGUGCCAUCACAAAUUCACAAGUGAAGUGGGUGUCGUGUCAAGCUCGAGCUGUAGCCUGUGAAGUUCAGCGAGCUGGUGUGGUGGACGCGGCGAUGAACGUGUGUGUAUAUAUAUAUAUAUAUAUAUAUAUAUAUAAUGAGGGAUACAUCUUAACCGGUUAAAUCCUGGUUGUGUUGCUUAUAAGUUACCGGUUCGAGUUUUACAAAUUUUAGGAUCAUUUGAGACU